rnacentral:rRNA from 1 species
GACGAACGCUGGCGGCGUGCUUAACACAUGCAAGUCGAACGGAAAGGCCCUGCUUUUGUGGGGUGCUCGAGUGGCGAACGGGUGAGUAACACGUGAGUAACCCCCCCCUGUCUGUCUGGUAACUUCAGGAAACUGGGGCUAAUACCGCAUAGGAGCUACUGCUGCAUGGGGGUGGAUGGAGAGUGUCGGCUGUUGUGGAUAGACUCGCUGCUUAUCAGCUUGUUUGUCGAGUAGUUGCUUACCACGGCUUUGACGGGUAGCCGGCCUGAGAGCGUGGCCGGCGUCCUUGGGCCUGCGAUAGGGAGCAGAAUCGUACCGUCGGCAGCAGUCGAAAAUCUUGCGCAAUGGGCGGGCGCCUGAUGCAGCAGCGCCGCGUUCGGAAUGCCGGCCUUUGGGUUGUGAACCGAUUUGGAAUGUGCCGAGGCGUGAGUGACGGUACCGAGUCAAGAAGCCCCGGCUAACUACGUG